rnacentral:lncRNA from 1 species
CCUCUUGUCCUCUUCCCCUAGCAUUUUUCUAACAAAUCAGCGACACAAAUUCAAAUUUCUGGGUACCAUUACGUACAUUUCAGUAACAAGAAUGGGUGCCAUUACAUACGUUUGAGUAACAAGAAACCGUAAAAACAUAAAGUAUGCCUUGCCUGUACAUGGAUAACACGGGACACAAUGAUACAAAACCUAGGAAAAAUGUUAGGCAAAUCCCCUCUAAUAAACAGACAAAUGUGCUUAUCUCUAGACUCCACUAAAAAUAGAAACCAAGGUGCAGCGUACGCUGUAUUUCAUCGUCACUCUCUCAUUUUCAGUCAUGCUUCCUGUCCCUGCUACCUUUGUCUCUGUCUUCGUUAAUCCUUGCAGCCGGCGACCUCGAGCGAUCCCUUGAUGAGCUGCUCAACCCGCCAGGCAAACGGCUCCGCGGUGCCACAGAGAGCACUGGUCUGCAUGCAUACAACAUUCAGAUGAGAUACCAUCUUAAAUGGUUGGUACAAACCAAAAACUACCUCUGAAAAUCAAGACAUGGCAUUACGAUUUCAGAAGAAAAGUAGAAGCAGUUUCUCCCAUCAUAGUGCUGGACUACAGGCUUUCCCCUCCCGUUGCAGGCAACAUCAAUUUGGAGAAGAUUCAAGCAUGAAUUUCGUGCUUAGGCCUCGGACAGGUCGCCGCUUAGGCUUUGGCAGGUCG